CAUACGAUUACAUUUUUAUGGCAUUACUAAUCCAGUUAUGGUUCCAUUGUUGUCGCACACCGAACGUUCAAUGAAUUUCUUGAAGAAAAUGUAUGGAGUCUUUUGUUGUGUGCUUCAACCAGGGAGGUAACUACAUUUCUUCCGUUGCUGAAAAAGCUGAGGUGAAUUCUAUGACAGUGAGGGUUGAUGAUAGGAGCACAAUUAAUUCUGAUGUAAGUGUGACAACCUUGUGUACUAUUCUAUCCUGGUCUUGCUUUUAUUGUUGCACAACUUUUCUGAUCUCCCAGUAGAUCUGUUCAGUCGGUGUCGUCGUUAGGCUUAGUUUAGACAUCUUUCUAUUUUGAAUCUGUGCUUAUACUGUUUGUCAUCUGAAACCUACACUCAGUAUACAUUAUGUCCAGGAAAUAAUCAUCACGUACGGACAUCACUCUGUACUCCUUCCGUUACAUAAUUCUUGUCGUGGUUUUAGUUCAACAUUGCAUAACCUUCUGGUUUUCCUGAGGUACUGCUCAGUAACUUUUUUUACCUCAUGCAUACAAAGAUAGAACAAGAGUCACUGGAUUAAGAAUUCGAACUUUCAGAAGUUCAAAAAACAAAUCUGCAUAGUCUGUGGAUGGGGAUGGAAGGAAAGAACUGUGAUUCUAAUGUGCCAUUGACAGUGGCGGGCAUUAAUUGGGGAGGCGGAGAUAGCAGCUUGACAUGCAUGAUGUUUGAUUAGAAUCGUGGUUACUUGGUGAUGCUUUUAGUUUGCUAGAACUUUUUAGCCUGAAAGAAUGCAAAAUGCAUAUACACUGGGAUUAGGAAUCCAUUAAGUUAUCUUAGUUUCUCUUUCUGGUUUGAGUUUAGUAUUAUUUUUUCUUCUUCAUGCAUUUAAUUUGCUGUGCAGGUGUCUUACAUAAGAUGCUAUAAGGAUUAUAUAACUUUCUUUACCGAUCACAGUACCGACGGUGGCAGGCCAUGCUUUCUAUCUGCAGUUCUCCAACUAAAAGUCUAACUGCAGGAGUAUGUAGAAUCUUCUUUACUUAACUAGCUGAUACUCACGGACAUAUCGUGAAGCACAAGCAGCCUUGCAACCACAAACCUUGCAGACUUCUCUUUUCAUAUCCAAACUUUGCAAACA